GUGAAAAGAAUCUUCCGCUUUGAGAUGGACCCGCGGCGCAUUAGCUAGUUGGUGAGGUAACGGCUCACCAAGGCGACGAUGCGUAGCCGACCUGAGAGGGUGAUCGGCCACAUUGGAACUGAGACACGGUCCACACUCCUACGGGAGGCAGCAGUGGGGAAUAUUGCGCAAUGGGGGAAACCCUGACGCAGCACCGCCGCGUGAAUGAUGAAGGCCUUCGGGUUGUAAAGUUCUGUCUUCUGGGACGAUAAUGACGGUACCAGAGGAGGAAGCCACGGCUAACUACGUGCCAGCAGCCGCGGUAAUACGUAGGUGGCAAGCGUUGUCCGGAUUUACUGGGCGUAAAGGAUGCGUACGCGGA
rnacentral:rRNA from 1 species